rnacentral:rRNA from 1 species
UACAUAGGUUGCAAGCGUUAUCCGGAUUUAUUGGGCGUAAAGCAAGCGCAGACUGUUUUAAAAGUCCCGAGUUAAAUACUACUGCUCAACAGUAGUCCGCUCGGGAAACUGUCAAACUAGAAUAUAGUAGAGAAUUUCGGAACUCCAUGUGUAGCGGUGGAAUGCGUAGAUAUAUGGAAGAACACCAGUGGCGAAAGCGGAAAUUUGGACUAUUAUUGACGUUUAGGCUUGAAAGUGCGGGGAGCAAAUGGG